rnacentral:rRNA from 1 species
GGUUAAGCGACUAAGCGUACACGGUGGAUGCCCUGGCAGUCAGAGGCGAUGAAGGACGUGCUAAUCUGCGAAAAGCGCCGGCGAGGUGAUAUGAACCUUUGACCCGGCGAUGUCCGAAUGGGGAAACCCAGUGUGUUCCGACACACUAUCGUUAACUGAAUACAUAGGUUAACGAGGCGAACCGGGGGAACUGAAACAUCUAAGUACCCCGAGGAAAAGAAAUCAACCGAGAUUCCCCCAGUAGCGGCGAGCGAACGGGGAGCAGCCCAGAGUCUGAAUCAGCUUGUGUGUUAGUGGAACGGUCUGGAAAGUCCGACGGUACAGGGUGAUAGUCCCGUACACGAAAGCACACUUGCUGUGAACUCGAAGAGUAGGGCGGGACACGUGGUAUCCUGUCUGAAUAUGGGGGGACCAUCCUCCAAGGCUAAAUACUCCUGACUGACCGAUAGUGAACCAGUACCGUGAGGGAAAGGCGAAAAGAACCCCGGCGAGGGGAGUGAAAAAGAACCUGAAACCGUGUACGUACAAGCAGUGGGAGCACCUUCGUGGUGUGACUGCGUACCUUUUGUAUAAUGGGUCAGCGACUUAUAUUCUGUAGCAAGGUUAACCGUAUAGGGGAGCCGAAGGGAAACCGAGUCUUAACUGGGCGUUAAGUUGCAGGGUAUAGACCCGAAACCCGGUGAUCUAGCCAUGGGCAGGUUGAAGGUUGGGUAACACUAACUGGAGGACCGAACCGACUAAUGUUGAAAAAUUAGCGGAUGACUUGUGGCUGGGGGUGAAAGGCCAAUCAAACCGGGAGAUAGCUGGUUCUCCCCGAAAGCUAUUUAGGUAGCGCCUCGUGAACUCAUCUUCGGGGGUAGAGCACUGUUUCGGCUAGGGGGCCAUCCCGGCUUACCAACCCGAUGCAAACUACGAAUACCGAAGAAUGUUAUCACGGGAGACACACGGCGGGUGCUAACGUCCGUCGUGAAGAGGGAAACAACCCAGACCGCCAGCUAAGGUCCCAAAGUCAUGGUUAAGUGGGAAACGAUGUGGGAAGGCACAGACAGCCAGGAUGUUGGCUUAGAAGCAGCCAUCAUUUAAAGAAAGCGUAAUAGCUCACUGGUCGAGUCGGCCUGCGCGGAAGAUGUAACGGGGCUAAACCAUGCACCGAAGCUGCGGCAGCGACGCUUAUGCGUUGUUGGGUAGGGGAGCGUUCUGUAAGCCGUUGAAGGUGGCCUGUGAGGGUUGCUGGAGGUAUCAGAAGUGCGAAUGCUGACAUAAGUAACGAUAAUGCGGGUGAAAAGCCCGCACGCCGGAAGACCAAGGGUUCCUGUCCAACGUUAAUCGGGGCAGGGUGAGUCGACCCCUAAGGCGAGGCCGAAAGGCGUAGUCGAUGGGAAACAGGUUAAUAUUCCUGUACUUGGUGUUACUGCGAAGGGGGGACGGAGAAGGCUAUGUUAGCCGGGCGACGGUUGUCCCGGUUUAAGCAUGUAGGCGGAGGUUCCAGGUAAAUCCGGUACCUUAUUAACGCUGAGGUGUGAUGACGAGGCACUACGGUGCUGAAGUAACAAAUGCCCUGCUUCCAGGAAAAGCCUCUAAGCAUCAGGUAACAUCAAAUCGUACCCCAAACCGACACAGGUGGUCAGGUAGAGAAUACCAAGGCGCUUGAGAGAACUCGGGUGAAGGAACUAGGCAAAAUGGUGCCGUAACUUCGGGAGAAGGCACGCUGAUAUGUAGGUGAAGCCCCUGCGGGUGGAGCUGAAAUCAGUCGAAGAUACCAGCUGGCUGCAACUGUUUAUUAAAAACACAGCACUGUGCAAACACGAAAGUGGACGUAUACGGUGUGACGCCUGCCCGGUGCCGGAAGGUUAAUUGAUGGGGUUAGCGGCAACGCGAAGCUCUUGAUCGAAGCCCCGGUAAACGGCGGCCGUAACUAUAACGGUCCUAAGGUAGCGAAAUUCCUUGUCGGGUAAGUUCCGACCUGCACGAAUGGCGUAAUGAUGGCCAGGCUGUCUCCACCCGAGACUCAGUGAAAUUGAACUCGCUGUGAAGAUGCAGUGUACCCGCGGCAAGACGGAAAGACCCCGUGAACCUUUACUAUAGCUUGACACUGAACACUGGUCCUUGAUGUGUAGGAUAGGUGGGAGGCUUUGAAGCGUGGACGCCAGUCUGCGUGGAGCCAUCCUUGAAAUACCACCCUUUAAUGGCUGGUGUUCUAACGUAGACCCGUGAUCCGGGUUGCGGACAGUGUCUGGUGGGUAGUUUGACUGGGGCGGUCUCCUCCCAAAGAGUAACGGAGGAGCACGAAGGUUAGCUAAUCCUGGUCGGACAUCAGGAGGUUAGUGCAAUGGCAUAAGCUAGCUUGACUGCGAGAGUGACGGCUCGAGCAGGUGCGAAAGCAGGUCAUAGUGAUCCGGUGGUUCUGAAUGGAAGGGCCAUCGCUCAACGGAUAAAAGGUACUCCGGGGAUAACAGGCUGAUACCGCCCAAGAGUUCAUAUCGACGGCGGUGUUUGGCACCUCGAUGUCGGCUCAUCACAUCCUGGGGCUGAAGUAGGUCCCAAGGGUAUGGCUGUUCGCCAUUUAAAGUGGUACGCGAGCUGGGUUUAGAACGUCGUGAGACAGUUCGGUCCCUAUCUGCCGUGGGCGCUGGAGAAUUGAGGGGGGCUGCUCCUAGUACGAGAGGACCGGAGUGGACGCAUCACUGGUGUUCGGGUUGUCAUGCCAAUGGCAUUGCCCGGUAGCUAAAUGCGGAAAAGAUAAGUGCUGAAAGCAUCUAAGCACGAAACUUGCCCCGAGAUGAGUUCUCCCUGAGACUUUAAGUCUCCUGAAGGAACGUUGAAGACGACGACGUUGAUAGGUCGGGUGUGUAAGCGCAGCGAUGCGUUGAGCUAACCGAUACUAAUGAACCGUGAGGCUUAACCUU